rnacentral:misc_RNA from 1 species
AGGUAAUUAAUUGGAUUUUGUAUUCGUGUUUGAGCUUCGCAUUAAUUUGUGAAGCUAACAUGGUAGUUAAGUUGGUAAAGUUGCUGUGUCACUAUAUCUAAUUAACUUUGAAUUUCAUUAUGCUGCUAAUGGUUAGAACGUUUACUUAGUUUGUUUUGUUUAAUGGGUCAUAUGAGGAAUUCUAUUGUCUGAGGAAUGGAUUAGUGGGAAAUUGAAAUUCCAGCUUCAACUAGUUCUUUUAUUAGAUUUAAUUUGCCACUGCCUUAUGAUUUCGUAGAACUUAUUGAACCGGGUCUUCUAUGGAAUUUAGUGUUUCACUGCAUUGAUGUGUAUUGCAUAUUAAGCUUCAAAUUUGAUAUCUCAUUUCGUCCCAUUAUUCAAAGCUUAUUGAAUGGCAUGGAGCUUAUUCACUUCUGCUAUGCUGUUUACGAAGUCAUGGAAGGCAUAAGAAAAUAUUCCAUUUUAAAUCAAUGCUUGUGCUUAUACGUUUACCCAACUUGUUAUGGUUCCGCGUGGUAUAAAAAUAGUGUUGAUUCAAGACGCCUCUUUUUAGUGAUAGUUUCAUUACCAAGACAUAAAUAUGGUUGAAUUUGUAUUUUUUGUCAUGAGUAUUUGUUGUGUCAGGAGAAAGUUUUUAUGUUGAUGAUAUUGAUAAGUAG